rnacentral:rRNA from 1 species
AGGGAAUCUUCCGCAAUGGACGAAAGUCUGACGGAGCAACGCCGCGUGAGUGAAGAAGGCCUUCGGGUCGUAAAACUCUGUUGCCGGGGAAGAACAAGUGCCGUUCGAACAGGGCGGUACCUUGACGGUACCUAACCAGAAAGCCACGGCUAACUACGUGCCAGCAGCCGCGGUAAUACGUAGGUGGCAAGCGUUGUCCGGAAUUAUUGGGCGUAAAGCGCGCGCAGGCGGUUUCUUAAGUCUGAUGUGAAAUCUUGCGGCUCAACCGCAAGCGGUCAUGGAAACUGGGAGGCUUGAGUGCAGAAGAGGAGAGUGGAAUUCCACGUGUAGCGGUGAAAUGCGUAGAGAUGUGGAGGAACACCAGUGGCGAAGGCGGCUCUCUGGUCUGUAACUGACGCUGAGGCGCGAAAGCGUGGGGAGCAAAC